GUCCACGCUGUAAACGAUGACGACUAGGUGUGGGGGGGUUCAGUCCCUUCCGUGCCGCAGCUAACGCAUUAAGUCGUCCGCCUGGGGAGUACGGCCGCAAGGUUGAAACUCAAAGGAAUUGACGGGGGCCCGCACAAGCGGUGGAGCAUGUGGUUCAAUUCGAUGCAGAGCGAAGAACCUUACCUGGGCUUGACAUGUAGGAAGUAGAAGCCGGAAACGGGGACGACCUGUUAAGUCAGGAACCUACACAGGUGGUGCAUGGCUGUCGU
rnacentral:rRNA from 1 species